rnacentral:rRNA from 1 species
AUUGAACGCUGGCGGCAUGCCUUACACAUGCAAGUCGAACGGCAGCACGGGAGCAAUCCUGGUGGCGAGUGGCGAACGGGUGAGUAACGUAUCGGAACGUACCAUUCAGUGGGGGAUAACGUAGCGAAAGUUACGCUAAUACCGCAUAUUCUGUGAGCAGGAAAGCAGGGGAUCGCAAGACCUUGCGCUGAUUGAGCGGCCGAUAUCAGAUUAGCUAGUUGGUGAGGUAAAGGCUCACCAAGGCGACGAUCUGUAGCGGGUCUGAGAGGAUGAUCCGCCACACUGGAACUGAGACACGGUCCAGACUCCUACGGGAGGCAGCAGUGGGGAAUUUUGGACAAUGGGCGCAAGCCUGAUCCAGCCAUGCCGCGUGAGUGAAGAAGGCCU